AGUGAACGCUGGCGGCAGGCUUAACACAUGCAAGUCGAGCGCCCCGCAGGGGGAGCGGCAAACGGGUGAGUAACGCGUGGGAAUUUUCCUUCUAGUCUGGGAUAGCCCUGGGAAACUAGGAUUAAUACCGGAUAUCAUCUACGGAUGAAAGAUUUAUCGCUAGAAGAUAAGCCCGCGUGAGAUUAGCUAGUUGGUGAGGUAAUGGCUCACCAAGGCAACGAUCUCUAGUUGGUCUGAGAGGAUGAUUAACCACACUGGAACUGAGACACGGUACAGACUCAUACGGGAGGCAGCAGUGAGGAAUAUUGGACAAUGGGGGGAACCCUGAUCCAGCCAUGCCGCGUGAGUGAUGAAGGCCUUCGGGUUGUAAAACUCUUUAAGUAGGGAAAAUAAUGAUUGUACCUACAGAAUAAGCCACGGCAAACUUCGUGCCAGCAGCCGCAGUAACAC
rnacentral:rRNA from 1 species